CCACACAGGAAGGUCACACCAUCACUCACUGUUACAAGGGUAAAGAACUGAUAAAUAUAAAAGUUGAGGUUAAAGCAGAAGAAGAAGAGGCUUAUGUGAGCGAUGAUCAGCAGUCUAUGGAGGAGGAUGGAAUAAUGAGGCUAAUUCUAGAGGAAGACACACCUACAAAGAUCAGCACAGUAGAUGGACGGGAGAUGAGGAAAACCUCAGAGGAUUGUCU